rnacentral:lncRNA from 1 species
UCCUAUAUAAAAGAAAUUUCGACUACAAAAUUCUGAAAACCUUUGGCUGUGCUUGUUACCCCUGUCUGAGACCAUACCAAAAACAUAAGUUCAACUUUCAUUCUCAAAGGCGUGUCUUUCUUGGCUAUGGUGUUUCACAUAAAGGAUAUAAGUGUCUAAAUUCAACUGGUAGAAUUUAUAUCUCAAGGCAUGUCGUGUUCAAUGAGUCUGAGUUUUCGUUCAAAACUGGUUUUCUAAACAGAUAUACUCAGCCAAAAACUUCUGAAAUUGUCAUAAGUCAUCUUCCGUUUGAUACUGAGUCAAGUUAUAUAGUAGUACCCCAAAAUGAAGCUGAUACAAUUCAUCCUAUUACUACACUUGCUGCUGAGUCCUUCAACAGAGAAUUAGAACAUGAAAUUGAAGAUGAUGGAAAUGGGAGUGUUGAAAUGGAUCAGGAAACAUCUGCUAGCCAUGUAGUUAUUGAUACUCAGCAAAGUGGAAGUGUUGAAUUAGAGGAUGGUAUCGAUACUGAUGUUCAAAAUAUCACACAGGAGAGAGGACAUCAUAUGGUUACCAGAAGCAAAGCGGGGAUUUUCAAACUAAAAGUUUACACUUGUCUCUUUCAAGACUUUCACACAACUAAGACUAAACCAUAUAAUGUUGAAGAAGCCUUGCUAAGUGAUAAUUGGAGGAAAGCUAUGCAAGAAGAGUACAAUGCUUUGAUGAAGAAUAGGACAUGGAAACUAGUACCUCCAAAACCAGGAAGAAAGGUAAUUGGCAACAAAUGGGUGUACAGACUGAAGUGUGAUUCAGAAGGUAAAGUGCAAAGGUACAAGGCAAGGUUAGUUGCAAAAGGGUUCCUGCAAACACCUGGAGUGGAUUUUAGUGAAACCUUUAGUCUAGUCAUUAAGGCAUCAACCUUGAAGAUCAUAUUGACCCUUGCUGUGAGCAGAGAUUGGCAAAUCAGACAAAUUGAUAUAAACAAUGCAUUCUUGAAUGGUAAGUUGGAAGAAACAGUAUACAUGAGUUAGCCACAAGGCUUUGUAGAUCAGAAAAAUCCCAAUUUUGUGUGCAAAUUGGAGAAGGCACUGUAUGGACUUAGGCAAGCCCCAAGAGCCUGGUAUGAAAAGCUAAAGAAUACAUUGUUGCAGUGGAGCUUCAAGCAGUCCAAGGCUGAUAACUCACUGUUUUUCUUGAUGGAUGAAAGAAGUGUGUUGUUUGUAUUAGUAAAUGUUGAUGAUAUAGUAGUGACAGGGAGUAAUGGUGAACAGCUGCAAGUGUUCAUUGAUAAACUGAAUGCAUGUUUUGCUCUUAAGGAUAUGGGAAGUCUUAGCCAAUUCUUGGGUAUUGAGGUGUGUAGAAAUGCAACAGGGCUGUACUUAACUCAAACAAAAUAUGUAAUUGAUCUAUUUAAGAAGUUUGGCUAUGAGAAUCUAAAACCGAGCUUGACACCUAUGGCAGUUGGGAAACUGAUCUCUAAGGCUGAAGGGCUGGUCAUGAAAGAUCCAACUCUUUAUAGAAGUGCAGUUGGUGGGCUUCAAUAACUAGCACAUACAAGACCUGACAUUACCUAUGCCGUGAAUAGAAUGAGUCAAUUCCUUCAAGCACCCACAGAUGUUCACUGGAAAACACUUAAGAGAAUUUUUAGAUAUUUAAAUGGAACUCUGAAUCAUGGUUUGGUUAUUAAAAAAAGUGACAGCCUAGAGAUAUCAGCAUUUGCUGAUUCAGACUGGGCAUCGUGCCUAGAUGACAGGAGGUCUACAGCAGGAUAUUGUGUGUAUCUUGGAGAUAAUCUGGUAUCCUGGUGUUCCAAAAAGCAACAUGUUGUUGCCAGAUCAAGUACAGAGGCUGAGUAUAGAGCAUUAGCUCAUAGUGCUUCAGAAAUUACUUGGAUACAAUCACUACUAAGAGAACUGAGUAUACCACAGAAUUCAACUCCUAAAAUUCGGUAUGAUAAUCUGAGUGCAAGUGCAUUGGCUUCAAAUCUGGUGUAUCAUGCUCGCACCAAGCACAUAGAAUUGGAUGUUCACUUUGUAAGAGACAAAGUUCUGAGAAAGGAGUUGGAAAUCCACUAUGUACCAUCUUCAGACCAAACUGCAGAUUUGUUGACAAAGCCUCUAACUCAUUCAAGGUUCCUAUUCUUCAGAGACAAGCUUGGAGUGGUUGAGACACACUCCACCUUGAGAGGGGGUGUUAGAAUUAAUCAACCAACUGUGAGGAAUUAUCUACCAUAGAUGGCUGCUCAACCUUUAUAACAACCUUCUCAGGAUAAUAGAGUAUUUCCUUAAUUUUAGGAGUGGAAGAAUAAUUCUGUAGUGGAAGAAUAAUUUUGUUGGACACAUGGCAUCAUUGUAUAGGUGGUAGUAGAAUAUUCUUCUUUGUAUGUAUUCUCCCUUGUCUGUAAUCGUGUAUAUAGGGAGUGCAGAGGAAGAGAUUUUUUGAGCUGAA